ACAGUAUAUUUUUUUUAUCCCAAUAGUAACAAUAGCAUAAAUAAAGAUCAGUAUCUUAUUUAAGACUUUCUGGCACUUACUGGGUUGUGGUUGGGAAGAAUUUAACCCAAAUGACUCUUAAAGUGUUGACGGUUGCAGACCGCUAUUCUAGAUUAUUCCACUGCGGCCUAAACGCCAGUUGGUGAACAGAGCAACCGAAACUUGAAAAGUCUAUAGCAUCACUGAGAAACUUAUACAGUAUUUUGGGAUUUGAACACAUUACUAUGUUUGAAAGACGCAAAUAUAAGAAACAAAGAGACCAAAAAAGUUGGCAAGUUACCAUGUUUACAUCAGUAAAUUUUUGUCAGAGAGAAGAUGAAACGUUUUUAGCUUCAUUGAUUGACUUUUCUUCUCAUUUUUACUCUAUUUAUCUCUUUUUUUAAUUCCACUUUACUAUAACAACUAAAUAUCUAAAGAGCUUUACUUUGCUUGUUAUAAAGUGAAAUGUUUUUUAAGGAACCUUCAGCUUUAUGAACAUUUUUCAGAAUGAAACAGAAUCUUUUCUGUAAAACUGUCAGAGAUUCAGAUCAAUGAUCAUCCAGGAGUUUUGAACUUUAGUCAGACACUUCCUGGAAGCACAUCUCAUCGUCUCCGAUGAAAAGGCAACAAAUCAAAGUACAGCAUAUUUUUUAGCAUUUUUAAGCUUAGUUUGUUCCUUUCUGAACGGCCUUCUUCCAUGAGAGGAGGAUGGUCGCUGGAGAAGCUCUGCUCAGAUGUCGUCUCUGCACUGGAGCGCCACACAGGUCAAAGGCACACCUACACAGGUCAUCGGCCUCGGCUUUGCUGACAGACACUUCAGCGUAACUGAAGCCUCUGAAAGUUCGAGUGGGAAAUCUCUGUCAAAAUAACUGAGGCAGAAAGGCAGAACUGAGUCGAGUGCAAAACUGCUGUGACUAAUCUCUGAGCAAGAAUCACUUUUGUUCUGUUAGAGGAAGAACAGAAAAACAUGUUCUUUCUGCCAAAAAAAAAAGUUGAUCCAGAUUAUCCCACCCACAAUAUUUCCAGGACUUUCCACAGAAAAUUAGAGAGUCUUUGCUCCAUUUGGGCUUCUAUUUUUACAGACGUCAGAUUUAAUGAAAGUAAAAUACUUUAAAUAGAACAUUUUCUGCCUGGUGAUGCUUCUUUUUUUUUAAAGUAAAAUAAAAGUCUGUGGUUUCUCUUCCCCAUUUCUUCCUACAUGAAGCCGUUUUUCCAGCCGCUCGCCUUCUUGUUUCCAGCAGCGUUCAGGGCAAAGGAAAGACGGCAGCCUGAGGACUCAGGAAUAGUUUGUCUUUGCCGUCCAUGACAGAAAAGCUCAAAUAAACACUUAAAAAAAUGCUAAAAGCCAAAUCACUGCUCCUUGGGAAAGCACUAGCAGUGUUUCUAAAAAACAAGUCUGGCCAAGUGAAAGCUUUCUUAAUCUCAACAGGAAACGUGUUGGCUGCUUCAGAAACUCUCCAGAGUUUGAUAAAAAUCAAAGUAGCAGAGACGUUCCCCUCAACUGCUGUGACGGCUGUGGGUUGAAGAUCCCUUUAAGAUACUCCAUAGUUUUUGUUUGGGGUUGCGUUACCGUAGUAACGGACUUCGUACAGGAAGCAGCCUACCUUUAUUGGUUUAUUUAGUUUUAGAAUAAAAGUACCCAGAAACAGCUGGAGCACACAUGGAGAGGAGGACAAAGUAGGUCUUUGUGUCUGACUCCUCAUCUUUGCUGUCUGGGUUUGGCUGAGCUCGUCUGCGAAACGGUCUGUCAGAAUCUAUGUGGAUCCUCAGGAGAACCAGAACUGGGCGGAGUUUGGUCCUCACACAGACGUCAGGCAGCAGGACUCACAAGUUCAGAAAUACUUCAUGCUUUCCUGGAUGAUUUGUGUUGGAUUGCACAAACCAUGUCAGGUUUUAUUAUCUGUCAGCAGCCCGAGGUCCGUGGCGACAUUUUCUUUGGCACAUUCUCAGGAGGAAAUGUCGUUUCUGAGGGAGCCGACGGGGAGACGGGAAGCUGCAGCCCGCCUCUCUGCUGCCGGGGCGCCGCUGCAGUUGGAGAUUUCCAUCCUCCUCCGUCCACAUCCCAGGACCGGCACUCAGGCCUUAUAAGUUCAGGAGAGCUGUUUUUUCUAUUUAUCUCCUGGCAGACGCAAAGAACUGCUGGUUUGAUGACGGAAGAGACAUUUUAAUUUCCUGCUUUGAUGGACGUCAAUUGUAAAGUCGAUCGUGCAUUCCUGCCGGCAGCGUCCUCUGGCCCAGAUUCAUGUUUACCCUGUAAAUGCAAAGAAAUAUAAUUCAAAACAAACGUCCGUGCAGCCAGAAGAGUCAAACAGAAGAUCACCUCCUCCCAUCGUCCCAGUCCAAACCUGAGCUUAAUCAUCAUGUUUGCUCUGCCAGAUGCUGCUGUUCACAGGCUCACCAUUCAUUUCUGCAGAAUAAAUGGGAGUCUCUAUAGAUUCUGUCACUUUUAUGAAGAUGUAAACACCAAUACAAGUUUGCUCUUUAAACAAGGCUUCUCAUAUUCAUGUUCCAGGGUAGCAAAUGGUAACAAAAGCAGCUUCUGUUGUUUCUCAGCGUCAGACGGUUGGCCUGUCAAAAUUGACCUGGGAGGUGCAGCUUCAAAGACCGCGCACACAUCACACGUUGCAAUGGAUUGUGGGUUGUUCAAUGGGAAUUAAAUGUAUUGUUUCUCGUUACAGUAAUAAACGAACAGGACUGAA